UCCGGCGGUGCAGGAUGAGCCCGCGGCCUAUCAGCUAGUUGGUGAGGUAAUGGCUCACCAAGGCGACGACGGGUAGCCGGCCUGAGAGGGCGACCGGCCACACUGGGACUGAGACACGGCCCAGACUCCUACGGGAGGCAGCAGUGGGGAAUAUUGCACAAUGGGCGAAAGCCUGAUGCAGCGACGCCGCGUGAGGGAUGACGGCCUUCGGGUUGUAAACCUCUUUCAGCAGGGAAGAAGCGAAAGUGACGGUACCUGCAGAAGAAGCGCCGGCUAACUACGUGCCAGCAGCCGCGGUAAUACGUAGGGCGCAAGCGUUGUCCGGAAUUAUUGGGCGUAAAGAGCUCGUAGGCGGCUUGUCACGUCGGUUGUGAAAGCCCGGGGCUUAACCCCGGGUCUGCAGUCGAUACGGGCAGGCUAGAGUUCGGUAGGGGAGAUCGGAAUUCCUGGUGUAGCGGUGAAAUGCGCAGAUAUCAGGAGGAACACCGGUGGCGAAGGCGGAUCUCUGGGCCGAUACUGACGCUGAGGAGCGAAAGCGUGGGGAGCGAACAGGAUUAGAUACCCUGGUAGUCCACGCCGUAACGGUGGGCACUAGGUGUGGGCAACAUUCCACGUUGUCCGUGCC
rnacentral:rRNA from 1 species